CAGUUUUCCCUGAGGUCCAAAAUAUUCAGUGGAGUGAAACUGUUGAUGGAAGUACAGUGCAUUACCAGGCGAAUACACCGGUGGCGACAAGAUCAAGCGACAGAGAAUCGCUGGACUGUGCAGCAAGAGUGAUAGAAGUAUGUCCGUUAAAAGCAGAAUGCAAGCAGUCCAACAUUCCAAUUGGCUGUGGCGACUGUUGCAAUACCACAUCAUAGCUAAUUUGAAUAAUAAGUAAAACUACAAACUGUCGCUCAAGUCGCGCGAAUUGCCUCUAGUUGCCCGAAUCACUUUUGUUGCGCGACUCAAUGCAAAGUCAAUUACUUCCGUCGCUGGAAUCGCUGAUGUAGUGCUUGGUCUAUUUGUGACGGAUAUGUUGUGGUAGGCUAUUCACCUUCUAUUCUUGCUAUGGUUCAUUCUUCUGUUUCAGCAGCAAAAUGUAACAAGCUUGUCCUGGAGGACUGCUCUGAUGGGGAAUGCUGUGGAGGAGAGACAGGCAGACUGUGGUCCAUCGUGUGUGCUCCCAGUGCGUUAAUACACGGACAGUCCUUUUUAAGUGCAACCAGAGGAAUAAUGUGAUUGAGAGGAAGAGUGGCCCCAUACAUUGCUUGACCUGGAGCCUACCAAAGUCUAAGGUCUCAGGUGUCUCCAGAAGAACACAUCCCAAUGAAGACCCCAGUCAUAGUCAUCAACUUGACAGCUCAGCCUGUUACUUGAACUGUGUUCUUAGAGCCAAGUGUAACUGAGGUGUUUCCACACAGUCUGUCCCCCUUAGAUCUUGAACUUGCCACCACCUAGUCAACGCAUCGGUUCGGGUAUGG